CCUACGGGUGGCAGCAGUGGGGAAUAUUGCACAAUGGGGGAAACCCUGAUGCAGCGACGCCGCGUGAGUGAAGAAGUAUUUCGGUAUGUAAAGCUCUAUCAGCAGGGAAGAAAAUGACGGUACCUGACUAAGAAGCCCCGGCUAACUACGUGCCAGCAGCCGCGGUAAUACGUAGGGGGCAAGCGUUAUCCGGAUUUACUGGGUGUAAAGGGAGCGUAGACGGCCAGACAAGUCAGAAGUGAAAGCCCAGGGCUCAACCCUGGGACUGCUUUUGAAACUGCCGGGCUGGAGUGCAGGAGAGGUAAGCGGAAUUCCUAGUGUAGCGGUGAAAUGCGUAGAUAUCACGCAGAACUCCGAUUGCGAAGGCAGCAUACCGGCGCCCAACUGACGCUGAAGCACGAAAGCGUGGGUAUCGAACAGGAUUAGAUACCCUGGUAC
rnacentral:rRNA from 1 species